CUGGACCUUCGCGGCCCGUUAAAUCCGGCGCUCACCGAAUCCCGCUUGCUUUGCUCGGCGGUGUUGGUGUUGCGCCCGGUGGGCCCCGUGGUCUUAAGCACAAGCCGCGCCGUUGUCCGUGUUCGUCUCGGGACGUCCGCGACGCCGCCUUGCUCUCGGCGGCGGCCAAAUUUCCUCUCCGUCACCGCCAUGCGGGACCCGGCUCGCUCUCGCUAACGGGCCCGCUUGUAACCAGCUCGAGGGUGAUUGCGGAGGAGAGAAGCUUACGCAGACGCGCUCGCUUGACGUAUCGGCGCCCGUACGAAGAAAAAAAAAAAUAAUUUUUUUUUUACCAAUUUCCGACCUCAGAUCGGACGAGAUUAC
rnacentral:misc_RNA from 1 species